UGCCUAACACAUGCAAGUCGAGCGAGAAAGAGGGCUUCGGCCCUUGAGUACAGCGGCGAACGGGUGCGUAACACGUGGGUCAUCUGUCCUUGAGACCGGAAUAACCCAGCGAAAGUUGGGCUAAUGCCAGAUAAGACCACGAGCAGAAAUGUUUGGGGUCAAAGGGUGCUUCUUCUAGGAGCAUUCACUCAAGGAGGAGCCCGCGGCCUAUCAGCUAGUUGGUAGGGUAACGGCCUACCAAGGCGAAGACGGGUAGCUGGUCUGAGAGGAUGAUCAGCCACACGGGGACUGAGACACGGCCCCGACUCCUACGGGAGGCAGCAGUGGGGAAUAUUGGGCAAUGGGGGAAACCCUGAACAAGCAACGCCGCGUGGAGGACGAAGACCUUCGGGUUGUAAACUCCUGUCGGAGGGGACGAAAGCGGUUGAGGCUAAUAUCCUCGAUCGUUGACGGUACCCUACGAGGAAGCCCCGGCUAACUCCGUGCCAGCAGCCGCGGUAAUACGGGGGGGGCAAGCGUUGUUCGGAAUUACUGGGCGUAAAGGGCGCGUAGGCGGGCGGGCAAGUCUCUCGUGAAAUCCCACGGCUCAACCGUGGAACUGCGGGAGAUACUGCCUGUCUUGAGUCCGGGAGAGGAGGGUGGAAUUCCCAGUGUAGCGGUGAAAUGCGUAGAUAUUGGGAGGAACACCGGUGGCGAAGGCGGCCCUCUGGACCGGUACUGACGCUGAGGAGCGAAAGCGUGGGGAGCGAACAGGAUUAGAUACCCUGGUAGUCCACGCCGUAAACGUUGGGCGCUAGGUGUGGGAUCCCUUCCACGGGUUCCGUGCCGCAGCUAACGCAUUAAGCGCCCCGCCUGGGGAGUACGGCCGCAAGGCUAAAACUCAAAGGAAUUGACGGGGGCCCGCACAAGCGGCGGAGCAUGUGGAUUAAUUCGAUGCAACGCGAAGAACCUUACCUGGGUUUGACAUACACCGGAAAGCCGUGGAGACAUGGCCUCCGCAAGGCCGGUGUACAGGUGGUGCAUGGCUGUCGUCAGCUCGUGUCGUGAGAUGUUGGGUUAAGUCCCGCAACGAGCGCAACCCUCGUCCCAUGUUGCCAGCGGGUUAUGCCGGGGACUCAUGGGAGACUGCCGGGGUCAACUCGGAGGAAGGUGGGGACGACGUCAAGUCAUCAUGCCCCUUAUGUCCAGGGCUUCACACAUGCUACAAUGGCCGGUACAAAGGGCUGCUAAGCCGUAAGGUGGAGCGAAUCCCACAAAGCCGGUCUCAGUUCGGAUCGGGGUCUGCAACUCGACCCCGUGAAGUCGGAGUCGCUAGUAAUCGCAGAUCAGCAACGCUGCGGUGAAUACGUUCCCGGGCCUUGUACACACCGCCCGUCAC
rnacentral:rRNA from 1 species